rnacentral:lncRNA from 1 species
AGAUAACCGCCAGUACAAAGGCAUUAGUACUGGCAGUUGUCUUAGUCAACUGCCUGUAGAAAAUUUUUCUACAGGGCGGAUGCCCCCUGUAUAUAACCCUCGGUCCUCCGCCCGAAAUUUUUCUAAGUCUGGCACCCAGUUGAUUUGAAACCACGCCGUCAGGCUGUCCAAAUCUACGGUGAGCUUCUCUUCCUCGCACGUCUUUUGUCUUCCGCCGCCGCGUCGAGCACUUCAGUGAGCUCUCUCUCUUCCUCUCUCUCUCUCUGCGCGUGCGCGCUUGACGGCGGUGGCUAUGGUGUGCGGCGGUGGUGGCUAUGGUGUGCGCAUGCAGUGGUGGUGGCGGACCGCGAAGGGGCGGGCACAGUGGUGUGCACGGGCCCGGAAACUAUGGUGGCGGUGGCAGCGAGCGGUGGGUGUGGUGGCGAGCGGCGGGCGCGUGGCGGCGGGCGCGGCUAGAGGUUGGGGAUAACCCCGACAUAUGGAGCCCACCUGCCAGUGUGAGGGAAAGAAGCGGAGAGGGCACGGGCUUUAGUGAGAGGGCCGAAAAGAGUGGAAAAUAAUUAUAAAUAAAAUAAGAAUUAUUCCUUUUAUAUAUACAUGUUAUAAUGUUAUAAAAAACAGCAAAAAAUUAGAAAAAAUAAAAAUAAAAUCAGAUAUAUUAUUAUG